AGUGAACGCUGGCGGUAGGCCUAACACAUGCAAGUCGAACGGCAGCACAGUAAGAGCUUGCUCUUACGGGUGGCGAGUGGCGGACGGGUGAGGAAUACAUCGGAAUCUACUUUUUCGUGGGGGAUAACGUAGGGAAACUUACGCUAAUACCGCAUACGACCUACGGGUUAAAGCAGGGGAUCUUCGGACCUUGCGCGAUUGAAUGAGACGAUGUCGGAUUAGCUAGUUGGCGGGGUAAAGGCCCACCAAGGCGACGAUCCGUAGCUGGUCUGAGAGGAUGAUCAGCCACACUGGAACUGAGACACGGUCCAGACUCCUACGGGAGGCAGCAGUGGGGAAUAUUGGACAAUGGGCGCAAGCCUGAUCCAGCCAUACCGCGUGGGUGAAGAAGGCCUUCGGGUUGUAAAGCCCUUUUGUUGGGAAAGAAAAGCAGCAGGUUAAUACCCCGCUGUUCUGACGGUACCCAAAGAAUAAGCACCGGCUAACUUCGUG
rnacentral:rRNA from 1 species